CCAGGACGCUAACUUGAUCCAGCAGUGUGUGGGCAGCAGGCUCUUGCAGAAGAUACGGCAAUUCCUGAAAGUAAACAAAAACUUAUUCAGGGGUGGCAAAAUUAAUCAGUGAAGUAGGUAGUAUGAAUGGGCUCUCCGUUUCAGAAAGUGGAACUUGACCGACAUCUUCAGUUGAAGAUACAGGCAGGUAUUCUGCCUUUAUUUAACACUGAAAGGCACUUUUCUUCAGUUACUCUGAAGAUACAGCAUUGCUGAAAAGAACCAAGUUGUCUGUCUAGUUCAUUCUUACUUUUUUCAGCACCCUCCAUGGAAUUGUGGCCAGUUCACAUCAGGCAAGAUUUCAUUACCGGUAUACUGUAUAGUGCUUAGGAUCUCAAUAAAUCAGAAUUUCCUCAAUCCUAGUAGUGAACUCUAAUUGUAUAUUGCAUACAGUGUGUAGUGUAUGCACCUCUACCUGUGUACUUCUUUCAAAUGACAAUGAUUGUUUGUCUGAAGUGAACAAUUUCCUUCUUGGGACAAGGACAAACACACAUUUCGAAAACUUUUUUUUUGGUCUGUAGACAAAAACGGUGAAGAAUUGUGGCCUAGUAUGUUUCCUUUCCCCACUUUGAGCUCUGUAGGUUGUUAUGCUGGUAUGCUAGUACAUGCUAAACAGGAAAUUUAUGUAGAAUGAUUCAUCAUUAAUUGGAUGCAUCUGCCUAAGUCGUGAGGAGGGAUGAGAAUACCCAUAGUUAAAAAUGCUAGUGCUGUGUUCCUAAUAAAAUCUUAGAAUUCAAUUUUCUCUGCAGUUAUAUCAGUGACACGGGAGGGAAGUAUAUUAUUAAAAUCCUUUGCAGAACGUUAUGAAAAUAUAGAUUCAGAGUUAGUGACUUCAACAGAAUUUUACUAAGAGGUUAGUUGAAUAAAAUCUAUCCUUUUUCAAAAUGUUUCAUUGUGUUGAAUAUUUAAAUUAGGAUUUAAGACGUUGAUAAUGGGCAAAAUAGUUCUUUAGACUGAAUGUGUGAAUAUCCCAUCUGAAUGCAUGAAAGUAAACCAAUCCAGAUUAUGAAAAAUACCUUGUGUUUUCCAGCUCCUUCAAGAAAAUACACUGAACUUGGAAGCAGGUUACCACAGAUUUUCCUAACAGAUACUGAAAGGGUGACUUUCUCUUUUCUCACUCAAAAAACUGUCUUCAAGUUUGUGGAAGUCUACAAUACAUAAGUAUUUUCACAAAUAUAGGUUUACAAGAACUGCUAUGUAGAGUUUCACAAAACGGAGUGAAGUAAGUGCUGCUGAUGUGCAGGAGGUGAGCCGUUUGUGAGCUGCUUUUUAGAAAGGGGAUGAAACCUAUUUUCAUUCAAAUAUUAAACACUUCAGGUACAUUGAAUUGUAGCUGUAAUGGGUGUAAUCAAAUAUAAACCAUUUUUGUGUUUGUUGUAUCCUUAUUCAACGUUGAAUAAUCGGACGUCAGUUGCUCUUGGGAUAAUCUGCUCAGUUAAACUUUGUAACUAUAUAUGUAUAAUAUAAGCGAUUUAAGACAUUACAGUAUUUUAAAGCUAAGUUAACACAAGACCUGAACAGAUAAAAUUCUUUGCUGGUUUAGGUUUCUAAUGCAGUGAGCGGCAGAACUCCCAUUACCUUCACAGGGAGAAGAAUUUGGCUUAUGGUUUCUUCUGAGAGGAUAUUAUAUGAAAUAUUUAAUUAGUAAGCAUAAAUUUCACAUUUCAUUUAAUCUCAUAGUCAGACAUAUUCAUGUUUCUACUUAGAUGUUUGUAAUGAUCCUUUAUUCUGUAGUUGAGAAGAAUUUUUGAAUGUAUGUAAUGUUAAAUGGAUUCCUUGACUACCUACAUUGCAGUUCUUGAGGCUGCAGAUGGAUGUAGCCUAGCAUAACCCAAACUUUUUGCCUGUUCUUCAUUUCAGAACUUCCUUUUCAGUUCCAGCUUUUUUUAUUUGCUACUCAAAAUCUGGUUUAGAGUAGAAGACACAGAGCGACAGCUGGCAAGCUUGGAACUGAAUGUUAUGUUUAGCUGAGCUUGCAAAGCUUUUGUUGCUUUGGGUGUCCUGACCUUGGAUAUAGUGAUUUGUGAAUGCCCUAUCCAGUCACCUCUAUAAGCUGAAGAUGUUGGAGGUGGCACUGAAUUUACCACCCCAAGUAGACGGAACUAUGGCAGAAAGCUAGAGGGAAUACAGGGAUAAAACAGUGAACUUCUGUCUGGAGAGACAGAAGUCACAGAGUUGCUAAAAAGAGAAGAAAGAAGUUUACCUGUGUGUGGAAGAGGAGGAAGGGACGGAAACAUGCAGGCAGCAAAGCGUCCAAAUGUAUAGAAUGGGUUUAUAUAUCUAAUGCGUGGUUUUGGAUUGGUGAUUUAUGGAGGUAUUGAGCGAUCAUAACUUAAUCUGUUAAUGAAAUUCUUGUAUGAAAUAAAAGCCUACAAGUGCACAAAGAAA